GCUGGCGGCAGGCCUAACACAUGCAAGUCGAGCGGUAGCACAGAGAAGCUUGCUUCUUGGGUGACGAGCGGCGGACGGGUGAGUAACGCGUAGGAAUCUACCUAAUGGUGGGGGAUAGCCCAGGGAAACUUGGAUUAAUACCGCAUAAGUCCUAAGGGAGAAAGCGGGGGAUCUUCGGACCUCGUGCCAUUAGAUGAGCCUGCGUAAGAUUAGCUAGUUGGUGAGGUAAGAGCUCACCAAGGCGACGAUCUUUAGCUGGUCUGAGAGGAUGAUCAGCCACACUGGGACUGAGACACGGCCCAGACUCCUACGGGAGGCAGCAGUGGGGAAUAUUGGACAAUGGGGGCAACCCUGAUCCAGCCAUGCCGCGUGUGUGAAGAAGGCCUUCGGGUUGUAAAGCACUUUCAGCAGUGAGGAAAGGUUACAGAUUAAUACUCUGUAGCUGUGACGUUAACUGCAGAAGAAGGACCGGCUAACUCCGUGCCAGCAGCCGCGGUAAUACGGAGGGUCCGAGCGUUAAUCGGAAUUACUGGGCGUAAAGCGCGCGUAGGUGGUUUC
rnacentral:rRNA from 1 species